rfam:Candidatus Taylorbacteria bacterium RIFCSPLOWO2_02_FTLL_46_40 rifcsplowo2_02_scaffold_10866, whole genome shotgun sequence.
GCCGAUGUAGCUCAAUGGUAGAGCAACCGCUUUGUAAGCGGUAGGUUGUCGGUUCAAUCCCGACCAUCGGCU